GGACGAACGCUGGCGGCGUGCUUAACACAUGCAAGUCGAACGGAAAGGCCCUGCUUUUGUGGGGUGCCCGAGUGGCGAACGGGUGAGUAACACGUGAGUAACCUGCCCUUGACUUUGGGAUAACUUCAGGAAACUGGGGCUAAUACCGGAUAGGAGCUCCUGCUGCAUGGUGGGGGUUGGAAAGUUUCGGCGGUUGGGGAUGGACUCGCGGCUUAUCAGCUUGUUGGUGGGGUAGUGGCUUACCAAGGCUUUGACGGGUAGCCGGCCUGAGAGGGUGACCGGCCACAUUGGGACUGAGAUACGGCCCAGACUCCUACGGGAGGCAGCAGUGGGGAAUAUUGCACAAUGGGCGGAAGCCUGAUGCAGCAACGCCGCGUGCGGGAUGACGGCCUUCGGGUUGUAAACCGCUUUCGCCUGUGACGAAGCGUGAGUGACGGUAAUGGGUAAAGAAGCACCAGCUAACUACGUG
rnacentral:rRNA from 1 species